rnacentral:tRNA from 1 species
GGGGAUUUAGCUCAGUGGCAUAAAGCACCUGCCUUGCAAGCAGGCCGUUUCUGAGUUCGAUCCCCG